CACCCAACCACCCUUAUAACGGACAGAAGUUCCCACGGGCAGACAGCAGCUGAUUGGGGCAGGGGCAGCCAGGGGCACCGGAGGACCAAAGACUCAGCUCCGUGAAGCCAUGCUGCCAACCUGUCCCCUCUUCUCCCUCACCAUCUUCUGCACAGGCAAACCCAAGAGCACCCAGGCGAGUCGCUGAGAUGCUGAGGGCUGAAAAGGCCAGGAGACGGUCCCAGCAGCAGACCCUUCAGUCCUCAGGGGAAGCCACGCGGCACAUCUGCCUGCCUCCUCCUGCCGCUCGGCUGCUCAGGAAUCAAGCUGGGUGUCUUGUUGGAGCAAGAAGAGAUGUUUGCUCCUUUUAGAAGAAGCAACAUUUUGCAGCACCGAAUACCAGGGGCGGGGAAGUGAAUGAUCAGACUACACACUGGUGUCAGAGGAACCGAGGCAGCAGGCGCUGUGUGCCUCCUGGGAUUGGCAAAACCUCAAGUAAUGGAACAGCUGCUGACGGGGGCUGGUUUCCUCAGUCACAAAUGCGUCACAGAGAAGGUGUUGACUCAGAGGAGGGACCGGGCAGAGGACGAGUUGGGAGGCAGAGCCGUCCCAAGCGGAGCCAUGCAGAGGGUCUGCUCCCUCAUCCAUCUCACCCUCUUCUGGGCAGGAAUCAUGUCAGCAGACGUGUUGGUGCCUCAAGAUGCAGCAGUGACUGUGUCUGUGGGGGGAUCUGUCACCCUCAGGUGCUCCAUGAAAGGAGGGCCCAUCAGUGACUACUAUAACUACUGGUACAGGAAGAUUCCGGGUAGCACGAUGACUUUCGUAUUUCGAGAAGGGGGCACGUAUGGCCCUGGUUUCCAGGAAAACUUUAGAGGUGAAGUUGAUCAAGUAAACAACCAGGUCCUGCUGGAGAUCCUCAAGGCAUCAGAGGGAGAUAAAGGAUCUUACUACUGUGCAGCGACUACCACCCUGCUGCUGGUUCCCUUCUGAGCAGCUCCAAAACCAUGGAGAUCUAAGUAGAACAGUGGUUCCAACAAGAUCCUGACUUUCUUUCCAACAAAUAGUUUAAGGAGUGGGGGCCAGAGAAAGAUGACAUUCCUGCCUUUCUUCAGACUCAGUCUCUCCUGGCCCACCCACGCGCUCCCAUGGUGCUGAGAUCGGCAGUCCCCCGUGGGAUGUGGCCGUGUGGGGCCCAGUGUGGGGCAGGAGAGGAGAGAUGGACCCCAGGUCAGAAAGUGUAGCAUUUCCUGUUCACUCUUAACAGUUUUCUUGGAGCUUCAUAAAAGACUUGGACGCACAUCCCAAAGUACUUAGGACGUGGCAGAGAUUGAAGGGGUACUUUCCAAAGUAUGAUGGUGAGUGAUGUCCAGUUUCUCCCAAACCAUAUACACCAGGAAUCUAGCUGUUCUAGAGGCAGGGUGUUGGGAAGGUGGCAAGACUCCUUUCUUCCCUCGGCACCAAUAGUAUGUACUGCCUGUAGUCUUGCCCAACGUGGAGGGCAAGACUUGCUCUCUAGCAUUCUGUACUGUUUUGGAAUUUUGUGCUCC